rnacentral:rRNA from 1 species
CCUACGGGUGACUGCAGUGAGGAAUAUUUGUCAAUGGCCGAGAGGCUGAACCAGCCUAGUCGCGUGAGGGAAGACGGCCCUACGGGUUGUACACCUCUUUUGUCGGGGAGCAAAGAGAGUCACGUGUGACUCAUUGAGAGUACCCGAAGAAAAAGCAUCGGCUAACUCCGUGCCAGCAGCAGCGGUAAUACAAGUGAUACUAGCGUUAUCCGGAUUUAUUGGGUUUAAAGGGUGCGCAGGCGGAGGUGCAAGUCAGCGGUCAAAUUGCGGGGCUCAACCCCGUACUGCCGUUGAAACUGCAUCCCUUGAGUGCGCGAGAAGUAUGCGGAAUGCGUGGUGUAGCGGUGAAAUGCAUAGAUAUCACGCAGAACUCCGAUUGCGAAGGCAGCAUACCGGCGCGCAACUGACGCUCAUGCACGAAAGCGUGGGUAUCGAACAGGAUUAGAUACCCGGGUAGUC